AUGAAUGACGGGAGCCAGCUUCAGCCGACAAUGAGAAGAAUCACUAAAUACAGUCAACAUGGAAUUCAGUUAAUGAAGAGGGCAAUCGCUUCUGUUCUGUAUAUGAUCAUAAUAUCUUCUGGCUAUAGGUUACCUGUAAUAAGAAAUAGUAGAAAGAGAAGAAACGGAAGAAGGGUGGGAGAAAAGAAAGUGAGGAGAGGAGGAGAGAAAAGCAGAGAGGAUACGACAGGGGAAGAUAAGUUUCUGUCAGUCUCUGUGAAGAGUAGAGUACCUCUGCUGACCUGUGAUGGAAAAGUAGCAGUGAGUAAGAAUUAAAUGUGGAUUCUUCACCCACUGAGCUACCUGAGGAGGCCACGUUAGAGUACCCCCCUUGCGAUAUUAAGGCUGUAGUGUACUAAACGCCAUCCCAAUGAAAGUCUUAAUGAUCUUUAGUGAGUAUCUUGCAUACGGGGAGAAUAUGGCACCAAAUGCUUUUGAUAUCUGCUGAGCCUCUUUUAAGGAUGGACCUAGAUAAGCUUGAUGUAUUUCUCAUUUGAAUAUUCCACAUAUCAUGCAUUUAUAGUUCCCUCAUGUACCACCUUACUGUUAGAGCAGGAUUUGUGAAUUUCCCAGAACAUGUUAGACGUCAGAUCUUUCACUGUAAUACUUACACCUAAUAUACUGUGGUGGUGGAGUGACAAUUCUAAGAGCUCUUCAUCUUAACUGUGCAUAGGACAAUGCUAAAGAAGAGAAAUAACCGAAUGCCUCUAGGGUCUAUGAAUGUUUUCCUAAUAGCUUUUGAAACUCAAUAUACUAUGUUUUAUUGGUAACUAAUUUUAAUGGAACUAUGUGAAGUGCUGAACUAAAUAAUCGACAAUGUAUAUAUGCUUGUUGUUGUAAAUUAAGUUUGAAAAUAGUUAAUAAUGGGCUUCAUGCAUUUAGCAUUGCAUUAAGACACUUCUAAAAUGGGCUUUUAAGAUGCUUAGGUAUUUAAGACAACAUAAUGCAGGCUAAUAGGGCACAAAAACAUGCAUAAUUGAUACAUUUGUGUAUACUCAGAGUCAUUCUCUGGAAAAAUAUAGUUCAUUUUUGAAAAUAUUGUUAUCCUUGCUUAAAUGUGAAAGUAGAUAUUCUUUGAAUAGACUUUUUAUUGUUUAUUUCCUCUGGAUGGCUUUAAGAAUAAAUUAAUUUAUUGCUUAAAAAAGGGUAUAUAGGAGGCGGUCCUAAGAUGGUGGAGGAAUAGUAUGGGAAGACCACUUUCUCCCUCACAAAUUCCUCAAAAGAACAUUUCAACGCUGAGCAAACUCCACAAAACAACUUCUGAAUGCUGGCAGAGGACAUCAGGCAACCAGAAAAGCAGACCAUUGUCUUCAAAAACAGGUAGGAAAAAAUAUAAAAGACGAAAAAAGAGACAAAGGAGGUGGGGAGGGAGCUCCAUACUGGGAAGGGAAGCCCGUCCCGGGAAGGGAAUUUUAAGAAGAGAGGUUUCCAAACACCAGGAAACACUCUCCCUGCCAAGUCUGAGGCGAGCCUUGGAAACACAGAGGGCAACAUAACAGGAAGGAAAAAUAAAUAAAUGAUUAAAACCAACAGAUUACAAGCCCAACAGUAACUCCCCCAGCAGAAAAGCAGCACAGACGCCUGCAUCCACCACUAGCAAGUGGGGGCAGGGCAGGGAAGCUCGGGAGGUGCGGGCUGCAGAGCUUUGUAAGAAUCAGGCAGGAACGCCCCACGCGCAACCAGAACGAUCUAACUUGGGCUAGCAAACCAGACUGUGGGAUAGCUACCACGCGAAAAGCUCGAACAUAAGACACCGCCAGGAC
rnacentral:lncRNA from 1 species